rnacentral:rRNA from 1 species
GUAGGGGGGCGAGCGUUGUCCGGAUUUAUUGGGCGUAAAGGGCUCGUAGGCGGCUCAGCAAGUCGGCCGUGAAAGCCCGAGGGCUCAACCUCGGGAUGCCGGUCGAAACUGCUGUGGCUAGGGUCCCGGUAGAGGAGAGUGGAAUUCCCGGUGUAGCGGUGAAAUGCGCAGAUAUCGGGAGGAACACCAUUAGCGAAGGCGGCUCUCUGGGCCGGCACCGACGCUGAGGAGCGAAAGCUAGGGGAGCAAACAGGAUUAGAUACCCUGGUAGUCCUAGCCGUAAACGUUGGGCACUAGGUGUGGCGGACUCAUCGACGUCUGCCGUGCCGUAGCUAACGCAUUAAGUGCCCCGCCUGGGGAGUACGGUCGCAAGGCUA